AAUAAAAUAAAAAAAGUUUGAGAAUUUUGUAAUAUUGCGGACUUUUUUAGACAAAAAAAUCAAUUAUUUUUGAACAGUGGCGUAUUAGUCAAAAUUUUUUUAAAUAUUAUUGCAUUUUCAGUGACGUUUUCUACUUUGUGAAACUGCGACAGUGUGCAACAAGCCUGUCGUCGAGUUGGUGGUGAGAGUUCAACAGCGUCAAAAGACACUCCAACUUUUAUGAGUAUUUACAAAUUUAUUACGAUUUAAUUUGUAGCUUUAUUUAUUUAAAAAAAUAUAACAGUUUUCAUAACAAAUAUAUCGCUAAAUAACCCAAUUAAUCCAGCAAAAAUAAAUAAAUAAAUAAACUAAAGCAAAACGCAGUGCUACAUCAAAUUGACAAGAACGAUCAUAAAUGUACCACCUUUUCUACUCAUACGUGUAGUUUGAUAAGCAAAAUACCUAGGAACACACUACAGUUAUAAUCCAAUUUUAAAAAUUCUUGAAAAAUAUUAAACGUGUAUAAUCGGUCAAUACACAUACAUACAUAUACAAAAUAUAGUAUUGUUGUCAGAAAUAUUUUACCAACCAAACUAAACGAAGUCUAAUAAUUCAUAAAAUUUACGUCCACAAUCCGAACCUAACCAGUAAACCCUAUCGAACUUCUUAGAUUAUUUUCGAAAUAUGUGAAUCACUAUACAACCUAAAUCUAUUAAGCCUAGACAUAUGAAACUAACUUCAAUCUCAGUAAGAAACGAACCUCCAAACUGCUUUAAGAAUACCAAUUCCAAGUCUAUAUAUUUUGAAAAACAAAAAUAUUUUUAGAAUAACAAAUCAUAUUAAACGAAAAACUCUUCUUAUAAUCAAAGAUAGACAAAAUAAAACAAAAUGUUUUAAAAUUGUAAUAAAAAAUGAUUCGAACACAAUUGUACUGAUUUGAAACUAUAUUAGACCAACCAUAACCAACUCUAAUAAGUGAAAGCUUACACAGUACUACGAAAACCAAUGUGCAACAAAAAAUGUUUUAAAUUCAUAUUUAUAGAUACAAACAGAAAGCUCUCUUGUACAUAUAUAGCGAAAGUUGCAUGCCAAAAAAGCGCAACUUAAGAUUAAAUGUGCGAAGUUCACGAAGAAACAAUUGGCUAUAGAUAUACUACGGACUUUUGGCGCUUCGUAAGCUCGUCCCUACAUACUUUUUAAGUAAAAUUAUAACAUUCUAUAAACUUAAGAGCUUGUGUGUGAUAACUUACGACUUGUAAACACACACGUUUUAUUUAAAAUCGGAAUUUACUGCCAAUUUCAUGAGGGCUUUAACAUUUUUAUCUGUUUACAGCACAACUAUGCUUUCAUUUAAUAUUUUAUUAAUACAACAAUUUACGACUAAAUGGACUUGUGAGUUAUAAAUAUAACAGAAUUAAAUUUUCUUGGCUUUUAUAAGCUGUUAUAAAUAAGUCCCAAAGUUUCAGUAGAACUGUAAGUAAUGUUUUAUUACACACACUGCCAAUAUAAAUACCCAAAAGUCACUUUUUACUUUAUAAAUCAAACUCUGCUUUGCAUAGGUGAAAGCUUGCGCAACUGACUUCCGCCCGGUUGUUAAUUAUACACAUACGCAAUUCUCAUGUGGCAGCAUAAAAUAAUAUGAAAUACUAGUUUGCAAAUAUUUCGUUUCAUUUGCUGGCAUUUGGAGUAAAACACUUUUUUCAUUUACUCAAAUGAAAGUUCUUCCAAAGCUUGCGAUCAUUUUUACGUAAUAAACUUCGCAAGUUUCUCUAAACUUGUUUCAAACAAGCUUUCAUAACUAUGAAAGCUCAACUAAACUUCGCGUAAGCUUGCAUUGAAAAAACCGAUCGACUGAAUUAACGAAAUUAAUGUGUGUUUGGAAUAUACAUAAAUGUUUGAAAUCUAUAAAAAAUUAUAAAAUAAUCAUAUGCAAAAUAUUCUACAUAACAACGUUGCAAAUAUACAGUUUGAUUAUUUAAAUAUGAAUAAGAGUACACCAAACAUUUGUACUACACCGCAACAACAAGAGAAAAUUCAUUGUAAGAUCAAAUGAAAUAUAUUCAUGAAAUAGUCGUUUUUCUUAAUUUUGUAACGAAUUUAGGCAACAUAUCCAUUAUCUUACUAGUACAUUUCCUAUAGUUCAUAUACUUAUACAUAUACAUAUAAAAUAUUCAUAUCAUAUGAUAAAUCUAUUAAAUAGUUGAACGCUAAUUAAAGACAUAAAUACAUACAUACACAUAUAUUAUAUACAAGUAUAUAUAAAGUAAAAUAAAUAAUUGAUCGCAUAAAACGAAAUUAGGAAAAUUAUCUAAAACCGAAAAGCAUACAGUUAAUAAUUCGACAACUUACAUACAUACAUAUGGUAUAUUCGAUUAAACGAUUUAGAAUUCACAUAUCCUGAAAUAUAAACAGUGCUGCAAGCCAGAAUUAGAAAUAAAAAAUCUCAAUUAAUUGAAUGUAUAGCAUGUAAGAUGCGCGGCGCCGAAUAUUCAUGUCUUUACAAGUUCUUUUCCGGUCACACUAAUUUGAAGCUUGUUAAAUGGCGAAUCGAACUAACAAUUGGCAGCCAUGAAAUACUAAUUAAACAUGCGCAGAAACAAAAGCCCGUAAGGAAGUGACUAACGGAAGAUAAAUUUUAUUCAACAUGGUAAAGUCUAUAUGGAUUCUUGUCGAAUUCUUUACUUUACAUCUUUUUCGUAAAGUGAAUGAGAAAAGCUAGGGAUUCAUAUGGAAUAACUUUUGCCACUAAAAGUACUCUUCCAAA